rnacentral:rRNA from 1 species
AUUGGGCGCACUAAACCCAGAGGCGUAAUGAAAGUGAAAGGGGGGCGUCCCGGGGCUUCCUUCGCGGGAGCCCCGGUCGGCGCCCUCCGGGGCCGAUCCUCGACAGACCGUCGCCGCCGGUGUCUCUUCCCACACCAAAGCGGGGCCAAGACGGGAGCGGCGCGGGGUGAGACCCUUUCCCCCGUCGUCCGACUCCCGGCCCCGUGGGUACCCGGCGAGCGCGGCAGUCCGGUGGUCCCUCUCCUCUCGGGGGGAGGAGGCCUCCGCCUGUACGCAGGGGGGCGCAGGCCCGGGACUUGCCAUUAGACGCCGUCGCGCAAAUCUGUUGUUGGCCUCGCCGGCUCUGCUUGGGCUCUCGGUUGGCGGGCCGCGCGUCAGGCGGGCUUUA